UGACGGCGCAGGAGCCUGGCGCAAACCCAAGGGCACAGGGGCCGCUGCGGCUCCCGACACUCGAGUGGGCACUGGAGCGCGAGAGGGUUUAUAGGGCGGCAGCCGCGGCCCCGGGGAGCCAGAGCGUUAGUCUGGGAGGCAAGUCAGAGUCAGGGCUUCAGACCCAAGCUUGUGGGGCUCUGUCGCUGGCGUGGAGACUAGUCAGUGAGCCGUCAGACGCCAGAGGCUCCGGUAACAAGUUGCCCAAAGAGCAGCUCUCGUGGGCGUUGCCCCGAUGGCGUGCGUGCUCUCCAUCGAUUCUGCCGUUAGAAUGAGGGUGCUCGCGGUCCUGGGCGUGGCGCUGCUGGUGGCCUGCUCACACCGCCUCCUCCCCUUCAUCCGGACCGGCCAGGACCUCCUCUGGGGGAAGGGCCAAGACUCUGCUGUGACCCGCGCUGUGGAAGAGAGCAGGCGCAUGGUGGACGAGGCCAUCUACCACACCAUGAAAAGAGACCUCAGCGAACGAGAGAGCCCUUCUCCGUCACAGCUGCUGUCUUUUUCCAAGCUCCCCGAGCCAACCAGCCGCGCCGUCUCCCGAGCGGCUGAGAUCAUGGAAGCUUCCGUGCAGGCCGUGAAGACAAGAGUCUACGGGAAGCUCAGGCGAUCUCAGCCUCCCACCGAUGUCCUACCAGAAGAUGUGCUGAGCACCAUCGCGAACCUGUCCGGAUGCCUGCCUCACAUGCUGCCCCCCACGUGUCCAGACACCUGCCUGGCAAACAAGUACAGGCUCAUCACGGGCGCCUGCACCAACAGAGACCAUCCCAGGUGGGGAGCCUCCAACACAGCCCUGGCCAGGUGGCUGCCCCCCGCCUAUGAAGACGGCAUCAGCGAGGCCAGGGGGUGGAACCCCCACGUCCUGUACAACGGCUUUCCACUGCCCCCCGUCCGGGAGGUGACAAGGCAAGUUAUUCGAGUUUCCAAUGAGGCCGUCACGGAAGAUGACCAAUAUUCUGAUCUCCUGAUGGUGUGGGGCCAAUAUAUUGAUCACGACAUCGCAUUCACCCCUCAGAGCACCAGGAAAGUUGCAUCUGAGGGAGAAGCUGAUUGCCAGUUGACCUGCAAAAACCAAGACCCGUGUUUUCCCAUACAGCUACCCACCAACGGCUCGGGGACCUCAGGCCGGUCCUGUUUGCCAUUUUACCGCUCCUCCGCGGCCUGUGGCACCGGUAUCCAAGGCGCCUUCUUUGGCAACCUGACCUCGGCGAACCCGCGACAGCAGAUGAACGGGCUGACCUCUUUCCUGGACGCAUCCACCGUGUACGGCAGCUCCCCGGCCUUGGAGAAGCAGCUGCGCAACUGGACCAGUGCAGAGGGGCUGCUCCGGGUCAACACGCGCCACUGGGACGCCGGCCGCGCCUACCUGCCCUUCGCGCGGCCACCUGGGCCCACGGGCUGCGCGCCCGAGCCCGGCACCCGCGGGACGGCCCAGGCGCCUUGCUUCCUGGCCGGGGACGGCCGUGCCAGCGAGGUCCCCGCCCUGACGGCCUUGCACACACUGUGGCUGCGGGAGCACAACCGCCUGGCCGUGGCGCUCAAGGCCCUCAACGCGCACUGGAGCGCGGACACCACCUACCAGGAGGCGCGCAAGGUGGUGGGCGCCUUGCACCAGAUCAUCACCAUGCGAGACUACAUCCCCAAAGUCCUGGGCCCCGAGGCCUUCCAGCAGCACGUGGGCCCCUAUGAGGGCUAUGACCCCACCGUGGACCCCACCGUGUCCAACGUGUUUUCCACGGCCGCCUUCCGCUUCGGCCACGCCACGGUGCACCCGCUGGUGCGGCGGCUGGACGCCAGCUUCCGGGAGCACCCCGCGCUCCCCCCGCUGCGGCUGCAGGAUGCCUUCUUCAGCCCCUGGAGGGUCCUCAAGGAAGGUGGUUUGGACCCCCUCGUGAGGGGCCUUCUCUCGAGACCAGCCAAGCUGCAGGUACAGGACCAGCUGAUGAACGAGGAGCUGACAGAGAGGCUGUUCGUGCUGGGGAGCUCGGGUAUGCUGGACCUGGCGUCCAUCAACCUGCAGCGGGGCCGGGACCACGGCCUGCCAGGCUACAACGCGUGGAGACAGUUCUGCGGCCUGCCCGCACUGGAGACCCGCGCCCACCUGCGCACGGCCACUGCCAACGCCAGCAUCGCGGGCCGGAUGAUGGACCUGUAUGGUCACCCGGACAACAUCGACGUCUGGCUGGGCGGCUUGGCGGAGACCUUCCUCCCCCGGGCGCGCACGGGGCCGCUGUUCGCCUGCCUCAUCGGGAGACAGAUGAAGGCCCUGAGGGAUGGAGACCGGUUCUGGUGGGAGAGCAGCGGGGUGUUCACGGAGGCCCAGCGGCGCCAGCUGGCCAAGCAUUCCCUGUCCCGGGUCAUCUGUGACAACACGGGUCUCCCCAGCGUGCCCCCUGACGCCUUCCUGGUCGGAAGAUUCCCGAGGGACUUUGAGUCGUGCGAGAACAUUCCAGGCCUGAACCUGGACGCGUGGAGGGAGGUCCUUCCUCAAGGUGACGCGUGUGGCCUCCAGGGCGGAGUGGACAACGGGGACUGGGCGCUGUGCGGCGAGCCCGGGCAGCGCGUGCUGGUGUUUUCCUGCCACCAUGGGUUUCGGCUGCACGGCCCGGAGCAGGUGGCCUGCUCCCCCCGGGGCGGGCGCUUCCAGCCCUCCGUGUGCAGAGACGUGAACGAGUGUGAAGACACGGCACAGCCCCCCUGCCACCCGUCGGCCCGGUGCCGGAACACCAAGGGCAGCUUCCGGUGUGAGUGCACAGACCCGUACGUGCUGGGGGAGGACGGAACGACGUGCGUAGACUCCGGGAGGCUCCCCAAGGCAUCCUGGGUCUCCGUGGCGCUGGGUGCCCUGCUCGUCGGCGGCCUGGCAGGCCUCACCUGGACGGUGGUUUGCAGGUGCGACGCGGUGACCUCCACGCGUCGGCGCCUCCGUGGCUCCCGCCACGUCCCGACACGUUCAGAGACGCCUGCCCCUGACCUGAAGAGGGACAUCUCCCCGUGUUCCUACACCCUGCAGAAGCAGGUUUUAAACAGCCAAACCUCAUAGCCACGGCAGACAGGUGUGACCGUUGUGAGGCCACUGCUGUGCUCCACGGGUGUCACCGACCAAGGCCAGCCACAGCCCUGCUUCUGUCCCGAGCAGCUGAGGUGAAGCCCCCCCUAGCGUGACGGCCCCCCUCCGCCCAUCCCCCCGCCGAGAUGCUCUGGUAGACCCGGCACCCAUAUCCUUUAAGCUCCAAGACCACCUCUGCCUCGACUUCUGUCCCUGAAGAGUUCACUGUGUGUCUGGUAAGUGGUUUUUAAAGGACACGCUUUGCAGCAGAUUCGUAACGUCCGACAGAACUAACGUUUGCCGCAGUUCAGACGAUACCACGAGGGAUUCCUUCGGGUCACCGUGAACAGGAAGACCCAGACAUCACAGGUCACGCGGGCCAGUAAAUUUAGCUGUUACCUCGUCUAACUUGUCUGUCGGUCACCUGAGUUUUUGUUAUAGGCUGACGUGCGUCCCCCAGGGUCACACGCUGAAGACCCGACCUCUGGUGUCUCGGCACGUGACCACAUGUGGAAGCUGGGUGGCUGUGGAUGAAACUAGUUGAGAUGAGGUCAUGCUGCAGUGGGUGGUCCCAGCCCAGCAGGACUGCCGUCCUCACAGAAGGGGGAUGGGGACAAGGACGCACACAGGGAGAGGCCGGGUGGAGACGAGGGCAGAGAUCGGGGCGUCUACAAGCCAAGGGUCUCCAGCAAACCCCAGAAGCAGGAGAGAGGCUGGAGCGGAUGGUCCCUCACCAGCCCUGCCGACAUUAUGACCUCGGGUGUCUACACUGCAGAACAGGGAGAGAGCAGAUUCCCGUUGCCCAGUCCCCAGGCCGCCACACGGUGUUGCUGAAGCCCCAGAAACUCGUAUGAUAGUGUCGGUCUGUCCGUUUCCAGAAUGUGUCACUUGCCUAGGCUGGUCGGCCACGGAGUAGCCGCGGGAACCUGGGGGCUGCGCGGGGCCGGGGCCUGUCCUCGGCCACCGCGCCCCUGCCUCCUCCUAGUUGACUCUGGCCCGACUGUGGUCGCACCCUCAGGGCUAUUCUGACUGGUCACGGACUGCUCACCGCCCCCCACCCCCCACUUACCUGGCGGGGAGUCCCUGGAGUCGGGUUCACGGAGCAUCUCCAGGUGUAGGACGGCAACCUGUUGUGAGAAUCACUUGCUCUUAGAGGCGCGGACGCUGGUGCCAGUACGCCCGCAGCGAGCCGCUAAGUCAGCAGAGCAGCAGAAACUCGAGGGGCCAUCAGCAAAUACCGCCAGACGGGCUGGGCGCCGCUCCUGACCUGCCAAGUGUCACGCGGCAAGCAGCUGACGUUCCGUAAUCGAGUGCGAAUGUGCGAUUUUGUGUUUGCGAACAUUGCCGUUAAGACACCGGCCCUGGUCACCGGGUUACGCCUGUAGCCCCCACACCAAGAAACUGAGAGCCGUCGGCCCCACGAACACCUUUCCCGGGAAGUCUGGGGGGAAGCAUCCCCGGAGCCUGACGGCCGACUACAGCCGGGAGAACACCUGAGAUCACUCGGCCGAGCGGCUCGAGGCGGAUGCUCACUUGCAAACAGGACGGCAGUUCACGCAGGAACCGGGCUCAGACCACGGCCGGGGCCGCCGUGUGGACCAGGCAGCCACACCCUGAGCCACGAGGGGGUGCAGCCCUGCCACGCCCAGAAGCGCCCUUUCCACUUGCGGGGUCCACUCCCCUCCGCGCCCCGAAGGCCUUUCACCUUUUACUUGAAACUGCUUUGGUCGACAGCUUGAAUUUUCCCAGUUUUCGGUCCUCCCAGCGAUGGGGGGAGGCUUGGAAAGGGGGAGUUUGUCCUCUGGAUUUGAACCCACACAGGGAACAGAGGGAGGGGGCUCAGCUCCUGGUGGGCAGCCCUCCUGGGACAUCUGGUUAGCGGGCGCUCAGCAGGGGGAGAGGGAGAGUCUGGCUGUGCCCACACGGACGGCUCUGCGUGCACGAUCCACAAUCGCCUGGCACCUGGGCCCCUGCUUCCCGCCCAACCCCUGCCGCCAGGCUGGGUGGCCUCACCUGGCGCCCUCCAGCAUGCUGCGCGGUCUGAGCGAGUGUCUCGCGUGGCGGCUGGCCACACGCCUGGGACACCUGUCCUCCUGUCUUGGCCUCUGCUCCCCACGGAGCAAAUUCAGUGACUUCCCAGAGGGUGUAGGCACGGGGCCUCCUUGCCUCCGCUCCAGCCGGGCGGGGGGGCCGAAUCCGAGGCUCCCUCUCUGUCCCGCGCUCCCCUGGGCCCUCUGCAGUCCGGGCACAGGGGACCCCGCGGGAACAAGCGCCCAGCCGGCUUCCCAGACCUUUCCUUCCAGGAGACCAGACGCCUUCACCCACGCUACCCCAGGGAGGGUGGUCCCCCCAAGGCUUGCUGCUGUCGUGUCCUGAGUUCUGGAGACGUCGGAAGUGACCGCGGGGAUGACGGGCUCCCGUGCGGCGGGCACAGCUGGCGGGUGGAGGACGUGUCCGAAUGUCCUGCUGAGUCCUCACUGACUCACCAUCAGCGACACUUCCUUCCUCCCGGAUGGCCGACACUCCCCACACUCUCGCUCAGGUCCUGGUGACCCGCCCACCACAGGAGGAGGCUGGGCUCGGAAAGCCGUGUUCACAGCCUCACGCUCCUGUCUCUCCACACAGCCGGCUCCCUGAGAGCCCGCUCCCACCUCCCGCCACCUCACCAGUCCCGUCUGUCCCCACGUCCCGGGAGCAGGACCCAUGAGCCAGCUUCCCGCUCGCUCCUUACGGAACACGUUGGAAUCAUAAUUCUGUGACAAACGAAAAGGAGGAUGGAAAGGGAAACAGUCCGCUCUAAUGCUCUGUCCACAGAACAUUCUGUUUUUCUUUCCCUGAAAACCUGUUUGUGAAACUACUCGUUCCGAGAACAUGAGGUCUGACGAAGGGAGUUGGUGUGGUGGCCUGUGUGCGGCCGUCGGGGGGUGUGAGUGUUCUGCACACGCAUGCACACACGUGCACACGCAUGUUCCCACUCUGAGCUGACCGCAGCGACCUUCUAACGAAAGGACCGUGUGAACCGAACCCACCACCGCCUUGUCCCUUGAGGCCCUCACGGCUGCCCGCGUGCCCAGCGCCGUUAGGCAGAGACGGAUUGUGGGACCGGAGCUCCAGUGGAGAUGGCAGGAUAAACAGAGGAUACAAGCGGAAGGCUGGCGAACGGGGGGGGGGGGCGGAACGCCCGGGGGCCCGGGGCAGGUGCCGGCGAGAGGGUGUCUCUGGGAGCGGGCCCGUCUCCGUGGGACGUGUGGUUCUGACGGGGCUGUCCCACGCCUGCAGCCACACAUCCCAGACAGAGGGGUCCAGAGAGCACGGCCCCUCCUGGCAAGUGGUGGCCACGUGCUGUGCUGUCCCAGCUCCGUGGCGGACAUGCCCACGCCCCUGGGGCACCCACCCGGCGGGAGAGCUGGGCCGCGGGCAGAGGCGGAGGUGGGGGGGAGGGGAGGUUGAGGCACACAGCCCGUGAGGCUCGUCUGCCCAGGUCUCUGGUCCUUCUGCCUCUCAGCCGCCACCGGUCCUUCCUUUCCCGGCGCCCCAGGCUGCAAACCAAGGUGGCUCGGCUGACGUCUUUCUUCAUAUCCACGUAGACGCACAUCACUGGGACCGGCCCCUCCUCCUGGGGCCAGCUCUGCGCCCGAGGGCCCAGUGCGUCCUGUGCUCACGUCCAUUCGUCCCGCGGCAUUUCCUAGUUUCCCUGUGACCCUUGUGCCCCCAGCUGCUGGGGAGGGUGUUGUGUCCCACGCUGGGGACGCCCCUGCUUUGUGGGGUGGGGGGCCACGGCCAGGACUGGCCCCAGCAGGAGAGGCGCACGCAGCACAUCAGAGACGGUCACGUUCAAACGCAGAGCGUCCUCAGUGAGCGUGAGAAUUGUAACGUCAGUGGGAGUGGGGGUCUUGCCCGUAAUCCCAGUUUUCCGCAUACGGAUUGUGAGUUUCUGACGCGUUUCUGCACGAAUUAAAAGUGCUGUCAGAUAGGGGUGGCAGCACCGGGCUCGGGUGUGGUGGCUGCGGCCGCAGGGCUGGCGCUGGCCCCGCUCUGUGGCCUCCUGACGUCCCUCGUCUGACCGAGGACAGUACAGGCCACGCCGUGCGAGAACGUUCUCGUCGCAGUGAUGCCGCCAGGCUCCUCCCCUGAGAGGUUGGGGUUGGGGGGGGGCUCCCCGGUGCUCCAACACUCCCUCCAGUCACGGUGGCAGCACGGCGUGGGGGGCGGGCCCUUGGGGUCCCUCUGAGGAAAGACAGUCGUAACCAGUGUGUGCUUGUCCACAGGACACACGCGGGCCGCAAAUCUUCACUGCCCAUCGUGCAGACAGGAGGAGCCUCCCAGCCGGGUCCUGGAACAUCCCCGGAAACGGGGGCGCAGCCUGGUGCCUCCACUCGGGGCGCGGGGCAGGACCCGGCCUAUGGAUCGCAGACCC